CCUGCGUAAGCCACAGCAGCAGCUCGGUGUCUGCCCAGCCCGGCAGUGUCACGGCACGGCUCUUAUGUAGGUGAAGCCGGGGAACGCUGCAAGGAUCAUGUGGAGCUCUCAGUCUCCUGAGCCUGGAGCUUUGAGCCUAUUUAUAGGUUUUCUGUGGCUGCUGCACGUCCUCCUGCUGCAUCCAACGUGGAUCCGAGUGCCGUGGCUACAAAGGCUUGUCACUGUCUCAUGCUGGGUCCCUCACAUCCAAGAGCUACUUGGCAGUUUCCAAGGCAACCACCUGUGGAAUAAUUAAAAAGGAUGAAGUGUUAGCGUGCCAGAUAUAAGGAAUUCUUGCCUGGAGAGAGCGUUUCACUUUCUUCACGUCUUGAAGAAUCCAAACGUGCUUCUGCCAGCAAAGUUAAGGAAAAGGAACGGUGGCUGAGUUGCACAAGUGAACCAGGACGACACGAAAUUAAGCAAAGUGGAGUGCUCAUUUUACUAUUUUAUUCUGAGGACAAACCUGUCAGUAAUGAAUUGUUCCAGAAGUACACAAAGAAAGCUCUGCAUGGUAGAAGCUGUUUUUCCUCAGGCUGAAACUCAUCUCAGCUCCUCAUGACCAGCUGAGCAAGAGAGAUGGGAUUUGAUGCUAUCCAAGGCGUAAUUCCACAGUUCAUGUCUUCUGCUGGUGCCAGCUUAAUCAGUUUCUGCCCACUCCCAGCCAUUCGUUCCCAGCUCAGCAGCAAUGCUGUGCCACCUCUUCCCUGAGCCUGUGGAAAACCAAAUGACUGAAAAUAACUCGGUCAAGGAAAGAAACUCUUCAUUUUUUCCCUUUGUAUUAGAAUCAUUUGAAUGAAUUUCAUGGCCCACAGGCAGUGGUGUUGGUGCUGCUGAAGGUGACAAGAAAUGCAGCAUCAGAGGCAGCAGUCAGCACUGGAGGGUGUCCCAGAGCUGUGUGAUCUUGCUGUCAACAAAAAUCUGCUCUGGGAACAUAUCCUGAAUGCAGGGCUUUCACUAGCCACAGGAUUAUUUAUUGAACUGCUGCUUUUCAUUUAUUUUAUUAAGGAAGAUUAACAUCUUCUCGUUAGGGCAGGUUUGUUUUUUUUUUACUUGAGGAGAUAAACCAUCUCUGUGAGAAGUCAGUCAGCUUUGUGGACAGCCAUGAAUGUCAAUAAAGUCUUGGCAAACACAGUAGGUAUUUAUUCAGCAUUGCAAAUUAAAAACAUUUUUUCCUGCUUGUUUAGUGAAGGGAACAAAAAAAGACAAAUUACAGAGCGGAUGAGCUCUCUUGAUAGUUGGAAUUCAUUAAGCUGGUGGUGAAAACGCUGGGGGAUUGAUGGUGCAGAAAAAGAAAAGAUGAAGCAGCUUUUCCCCAAUAGCUGUGGCUUAAGUUCAAGUUGAAAAUGACCAAAAAAAAAUAAAAACCCCUUAAAGACAUCUGUAACUGACUUCACAAUCCCAGUCUCUGUCUGGGUAGACAGUUCUUUCUCACUGCAGUUUGUAUUAAUUGGUUUUUCAGUUGACAGAUAAUUUCUCAGUGGCUCCUCCAUCUCCAUCAUGCCAUGGGGUGUCUGCAGCAGCUCAUAAAUGAGAUCCAUGGCCAGACAUUAAGUAGGAAGUUCACACAGUCCCGUCCCAUGGCACAGACAGAGCAGACUUGUCACUCUGUCAUCUUCCCUCAGCUACACAUUUUAUUACUAAAAUAAAAAAAAAAAAAGGGUUUAAAAAGUUCCAGUAAGUUGAACAGUUUGUCAGAUGUGAUGUUCUCACAGGCCAUGGUCUGCAGAUUCUGGCUCUGCCUUUCAGAUGGAUCAUAAAGCUGUCAUGAGUGCAGCUCUAACAAAAUCCAUUUCCACAGCUCCUGUUAUGGCAGAGCAUGGAAAGGAAGCAGUAGGACUUAUUUUUUAAUUAAUUUCCUGAACAGAAUCAUUAGUCCACCAUGGAAAUCUUUCCAAGUCGCACCCAGUGCAUGCUCUGUGUGAUUAUCCCUGAUGAAUGGGAUAAAGUGGCCACAGCUGACACUUGGAGUCACAGACAGUUCCCAUGUCAUUCCAAGAGCAGGAAUUCUGCAUUUCAUCAUCAGACAAGAGAGAGUUCCCUACUAAGUGUUUAAAUGCAGCUAAACCACCUGUAAAUCACUAGAAUUAUUCAACAGCAAAACAAAGCCUUUGUAAACUUCAUUCUUGCAGUGCUUUAAUUGCAGUCAAAACUUUACUCAUUCAAGUGAUCCCAUCAAUGUCAAAUAAAAGCAUGAAUUGUGAAGCUUGUAAGAUUAGAGCUUAAAGUCACUGACAUGU